CGUAACAAUCCUAGAUGUGGUUGCAGAGUUUCAGUGUACAUAAAUCGAAAACAAUAGAAAAGAGAAAUACACAAAUCCAUAUUAUGACUAGACAUUCAAUAUCCUUUCCCCAAAUAGUGAUAGAAUGGUAAACAAGUAGCCACAAAAACUGGUAAGAAUCUCGAGUUAAACAAUGCUAGCAACCAAACUGAUCUAAUUUGACAUUUCCAUUACUGAGGAAAUACACUGUGAUAGUUAGUAGAAAUAAAUGCGCUAAGUAAGCCACUGAAUUCAGAGACCACACACUCCUCAGAGAAGAGAUACAAUGAGGAAGAGGUGGUUAGUUUGAGAAGCAUUUCCAUUCCCGGAACCACACACACAAAGAACAGAGCUGGCUGUCAAGUGAACAGUGGAUUAACAGUCACUCUGGUUACAGGAUCUCUGCUCACGUUAACCAUUUUAUAAUGAACACACCCAUAGACGCCCUACCCAUGGGUGGAGACAGAGAGAGAAUGAGAGAGAGAAAAUCAACACAGGAUGCCAUCUAAGCCAUCAAUAAAGUGCGCCCUGUGCCGGGUAGGGCUUCCUGCAGUCCACGCUGCCUAACGCCACACGUGUGCCACGCUGUCCCCACUGCCUGGGACGCUCUCCUCCUUCCACCCUUGGCUCAUCCUGCGGCUGAUCAGCCCUUCCCCUCAUCGGGAGGACGGCCUGCCUGCUCUGUGUGCGGGGGGACCAGAACCGGCUGCUCUCACC